UGCGCCGCAGGAGAUGGCAUUCCUCCUCAAACCGCCGCCAAGUCCAGCUUGGGGCUGAUGAUGCCUACAGUGAC
rnacentral:ncRNA from 2 species